rnacentral:rRNA from 1 species
CUACGGGUUGCACCAGCAAGGAAUAUUGCGCAAUGGACGAAAGUCUGACGCAGCGACACCGCGUGAAGGAUGACGGCCUUCGGGUUGUAAACUUCUUUUCUUAAGGAAGAAUAAUGACGGUACUUGAGGAAUAAGUCCCGGCUAACUACGUGCCAGCAGCCGCGGUAAUACGUAGGGGGCGAACGUUAUCCGGAUUUACUGGGCGUAAAGAGCGCGUAGGCGGUCUGGCAAGUCAGGUGUAAAAUCUCCCGGCUCAACUGGGAGGGAUCAUUUGAUACUUCCAGACUGGAGGUCAGCAGAGGAAAGUGGAAUUCCCGGUGUAGUGGUGAUAUGCGUAGAUAUCGGGAGGAACACCAGUGGCGAAGGCGACUUUCUGGGCUGCACCUGACGCUGAGGCGCGAAAGCGUGGGGAGCGAACAGGAUUAGAUACCCCCGUAGUC